rnacentral:rRNA from 1 species
CCUACGGGUGGCAGCAGUGGGGAAUAUUGGGCAAUGGGCGCAAGCCUGACCCAGCAACGCCGCGUGAAGGAAGAAGGCUUUCGGGUUGUAAACUUCUUUUCUCAGGGACGAAGAAAGUGACGGUACCUGAGGAAUAAGCCACGGCUAACUACGGGCCAGCAGCCGCGGUAAUACGUAGGUGGCAAGCGUUAGCCGGAUUCAUUGGGUGUAAAGGGCGUGUAGGCGGGAGCGCAAGUCAGAGGGGAAAACUCAGGGCUGAACCCUGGGCCUGCAUCUGAAACUGUGUGUCUUGAGUGUUGUAGAGGCAAUCGGAAUGCCGGGUGUAGCGGUGAAAUGCGUAGAGAUACGGAGGAACACCAGUGGCGAAGGCGGAUUGUUGGACAGUAACUGACGCUGAGGCGCGAAAGCGUGGGGAGCAAACAGGAUUAGAUACCCUGGUAGUC